CCUACGGGAGGCAGCAGUGAGGAAUAUUGGUCAAUGGACGAGAGUCUGAACCAGCCAAGUAGCGUGAAGGAUGACUGCCCUAUGGGUUGUAAACUUCUUUUAUAUGGGAAUAAAAUGUUCCACGUGUGGGAUUUUGUAUGUACCAUAUGAAUAAGGAUCGGCUAACUCCGUGCCAGCAGCCGCGGUAAUACGGAGGAUCCGAGCGUUAUCCGGAUUUAUUGGGUUUAAAGGGAGCGUAGGUGGAUUGUUAAGGCAGUUGUGAAAGUUUGCGGAUCAACCGUAAAAUUGCAGUUGAAACUGGCAGUCUUGAGUACAGUAGAGGUGGGCGGAAUUCGGGGUGUAGCGGUGAAAUGCUUAGAUAUCACGAAGAACUCCGAUUGCGAAAGCAGUUCACUGGACUGCAACUGACACUGAGGCUCGAAAGUGUGGGUAUCAAACAGGAUUAGAUACCCUUGUAGUC
rnacentral:rRNA from 1 species